CAGGAUUAGAUACCNUGGUAGUCCACGCCGUAAACGAUGAGUGCUAGGUGUUAGGCCCUUUCCGGGGCUUAGUGCCGGAGCUAACGCAAUAAGCACUCCGCCUGGGGAGUACGACCGCAAGGUUGAAACUCAAAGGAAUUGACGGGGGCCCGCACAAGCGGUGGAGCAUGUGGUUUAAUUCGAAGCAACGCGAAGAACCUUACCAGGUCUUGACAUCCCGAUGCUAUUCUUAGAGAUAGGAAGUUACUUCGGUACAUCGGAGACAGGUGGUGCAUGGUUGUCGUCAGCUCGUGUCGUGAGAUGUUGGGUUAAGUCCCGCAACGAGCGCAACCCUUAUUGUUAGUUGCCAUCAUUAAGUUGGGCACUCUAGCGAGACUGCCGGUAAUAAACCGGAGGAAGGUGGGGAUGACGUCAAAUCAUCAUGCCCCUUAUGACCUGGGCUACACACGUGCUACAAUGGUCGGUACAACGAGUUGCGAGCCGGUGACGGCAAGCUAAUCUCUGAAAGCCGAUCUCAGUUCGGAUUGGAGGCUGCAACUCGCCUCCAUGAAGUCGGAAUCGCUAGUAAUCGCGGAUCAGCACGCCGCGGUGAAUACGUUCCCGGGCCUUGUACACACCGCCCGUCACACCACGAGAGUUUGUAACACC
rnacentral:rRNA from 1 species